UAGGCCUAAAAGCAGCCACCAAUAAAGAAAGCGUUCAAGCUCAACAUAAAAUUUCAAUUAAUUCCAUAAUUUACACCAACUUCCUAAACUUAAAAUUGGGUUAAUCUAUAACUUUAUAGAUGCAACACUGUUAGUAUGAGUAACAAGAAUUCCAAUUCUCCAGGCAUACGCGUAUAACAACUCGGAUAACCAUUGUUAGUUAAUCAGACUAUAGGCAAUAAUCACACUAUAAAUAAUCCACCUAUAACUUCUCUGUUAACCCAACACCGGAAUGCCUAAAGGAAAGAUCCAAAAAGAUAAAAGGAACUCGGCAAACAAGAACCCCGCCUGUUUACCAAAAACAUCACCUCUAGCAUUACAAGUAUUAGAGGCACUGCCUGCCCAGUGACUAAAGUUUAACGGCCGCGGUAUCCUGACCGUGCAAAGGUAGCAUAAUCACUUGUUCCUUAAUUAGGGACUAGCAUGAACGGCUAAACGAGGGUCCAACUGUCUCUUAUCUUUAAUCAGUGAAAUUGACCUUUCAGUGAAGAGGCUGAAAUAUAAUAAUAAGACGAGAAGACCCUAUGGAGCUUAAAUUAUAUAACUUAUCUAUUUAAUUUAUUAAACCUAAUAACCUUCUCUAGGUUAGAGGGUGUACGUAUAUAUUUUAUUUAGAUUUUAUUCAUAAAUUAAGUUGAGAGCGCUUAUUUGUAAGGUGGCUCUAUUUCUCUUGUCCUUUCGUACUGGGAGAAAUCGUAAAUAGAUAGAAACCGACCUGGAUUGCUCCGGUCUGAACUCAGAUCACGUAGGACUUUAAUCGUUGAACAAACGAACCAUUAAUAGCUUCUACACCAUUGGGAUGUCCUGAUCCAACAUCGAGGUCGUAAACCCUAAUUGUCGAUAUGAACUCUUAAAUAGGAUUGCGCUGUUAUCCCUAGGGUAACUUGGUCCGUUGAUCAAAAUAUAUCUGGGUCAAUAAGAUAUGUUGAUUUUACUUUGACUUGUAAGUCUAGGUUAUAAUCAUUCGGAGGAUUUUUUAUUCUCCGAGGUCACCCCAACCGAAAUUUCAAACUUAUACUAUAGUUUUUGGGCCAUUAGGUUUAAUAAAUUAAAUAGAUAAGUUAUAUAAUUUAAGCUCCAUAGGGUCUUCUCGUCUUAUUAUUAUAUUUCAGCCUCUUCACUGAAAGGUCAAUUUCACUGAUUAAAGAUAAGAGACAGUUGGACCCUCGUUUAGCCGUUCAUGCUAGUCCCUAAUUAAGGAACAAGUGAUUAUGCUACCUUUGCACGGUCAGGAUACCGCGGCCGUUAAACUUUAGUCACUGGGCAGGCAGUGCCUCUAAUACUUGUAAUGCUAGAGGUGAUGUUUUUGGUAAACAGGCGGGGUUCUUGUUUGCCGAGUUCCUUUUAUCUUUUUGGAUCUUUCCUUUAGGCAUUCCGGUGUUGGGUUAACAGAGAAGUUAUAGGUGGAUUAUUUAUAGUGUGAUUAUUGCCUAUAGUCUGAUUAACUAACAAUGGUUAUCCGAGUUGUUAUACGCGUAUGCCUGGAGAAUUGGAAUUCUUGUUACUCAUACUAACAGUGUUGCAUCUAUAAAGUUAUAGAUUAACCCAAUUUUAAGUUUAGGAAGUUGGUGUAAAUUAUGGAAUUAAUUGAAAUUUUAUGUUGAGCUUGAACGCUUUCUUUAUUGGUGGCUGCUUUUAGGCCUACAAUGGUUAAAAGCUGUUUUGUUAAUUAUUCACUAUUAAAGGUUUUUUCCGUUCCAGAAGAGCUGUCCCUCUUUUGGCUAUAAUCUAAACUUACUUUUUGAUUUUGUUGUUUUUUUAGCAAGUUUAAAAUUGAACUUAAAUUCAUUUUUUGGGUAACCAGCUAUCACCAAGCUCGUUAGGCUUUUCACCUCUACCUAAAAAUCUUCUCACUAUUUUGCCACAUAGACGAGUUGAUUCAUAAAAUUGUUUUUAGGUAGCUCGUUUGGUUUCGGGGUUUCUAGCUGUAAUUCUUUUAGUUAGAAGUUUUCUAGUUAGUUCAUUAUGCAAAAGGUACAAGGUUUAAUCUUUGCUUGUUCUUACUUUUAAUUAGUCUUUCAUCUUUCCCUUGCGGUACUAGUUCUAUAGCUCCUAGAUGUACGAAUUUCUUUCUCCAAUACUUUUAGUAGGAUAAAUGUUUUGAUUUAUAUAAUAGUAUAAUUAUAUUUGUGUAGGGCUAGGGCUAGGAUUAGU
rnacentral:antisense_RNA from 1 species